AGAAUUUGCUUUGAUUGCUGGACUACCAGAAUUUCUUGACCGUAUAGAUUUUGAUGAUGCAGAUGAUUGUCCAAAAUGAGAUGAAUGAUAUAGUUCUCUAGCGGUGUCUGCUGAAGAGUGUGAGUCUGCAGAACCUGCUGGAUGGUGGUUAGCAACAGUUGACUCCACAAGAUAGGCACGAAGGCGUGUUGCAAAGCAACCAAGACGUGAUUCACUGAUUCCAGUUAAUUCAGAAAUAGAGGGCCUCCUCUGCAGUAAAUCUUUCAUCUUCCCAAGUAGUUCUGUUCCCAAGAGCUUAGAUUUCUCUGAGCACCAAAAAUAGAUAUUUUGGUCAUUUGCUUUG
rnacentral:misc_RNA from 1 species